rnacentral:rRNA from 1 species
UAGCACAGGGGAGCUUGCUCCCUGGGUGACGAGCGGCGGACGGGUGAGUAAUGUCUGGGAAACUGCCUGAUGGAGGGGGAUAACUACUGGAAACGGUAGCUAAUACCGCAUAACGUCGCAAGACCAAAGAGGGGGACCUUCGGGCCUCUUGCCAUCAGAUGUGCCCAGAUGGGAUUAGCUAGUAGGUGGGGUAAUGGCUCACCUAGGCGACGAUCCCUAGCUGGUCUGAGAGGAUGACCAGCCACACUGGAACUGAGACACGGUCCAGACUCCUACGGGAGGCAGCAGUGGGGAAUAUUGCACAAUGGGCGCAAGCCUGAUGCAGCCAUGCCGCGUGUGUGAAGAAGGCCUUCGGGUUGUAAAGCACUUUCAGCGAGGAGGAAGGUGGUGAACUUAAUACGUUCAUCAAUUGACGUUACUCGCAGAAGAAGCACCGGCUAACUCCGUGCCAGCAGCCGCGGUAAUACGGAGGGUGCAAGCGUUAAUCGGAAUUACUGGGCGUAAAGCGCACGCAGGCGGUUUGUUAAGUCAGAUGUGAAGUCCCCGGGCUCAACCUGGGAACUGCAUUUGAAACUGGCAAGCUAGAGUCUCGUAGAGGGGGGUAGAAUUCCAGGUGUAGCGGUGAAAUGCGUAGAGAUCUGGAGGAAUACCGGUGGCGAAGGCGG